GUUUUUGUAGUUGAAUACAACGAUGGUUUUUCAAAUCAUGGGUCUUGGUUAAAGUCCAGGCAAGAAUU
rnacentral:tRNA from 1 species